UUGAACGCUGGCGGCAGGCCUAACACAUGCAAGUCGAGCGGUAGAGAGAAGCUUGCUUCUCUUGAGAGCGGCGGACGGGUGAGUAAUGCCUAGGAAUCUGCCUGGUAGUGGGGGAUAACGUUCGGAAACGGACGCUAAUACCGCAUACGUCCUACGGGAGAAAGCAGGGGACCUUCGGGCCUUGCGCUAUCAGAUGAGCCUAGGUCGGAUUAGCUAGUUGGUGGGGUAAUGGCUCACCAAGGCGACGAUCCGUAACUGGUCUGAGAGGAUGAUCAGUCACACUGGAACUGAGACACGGUCCAGACUCCUACGGGAGGCAGCAGUGGGGAAUAUUGGACAAUGGGCGAAAGCCUGAUCCAGCCAUGCCGCGUGUGUGAAGAAGGUCUUCGGAUCGUAAAGCACUUUAAGUUGGGAGGAAGGGCAGUAAAUUAAUACUUUGCUGUUUUGACGUUACCGACAGAAUAAGCACCGGCUAACUCUGUG
rnacentral:rRNA from 1 species